rnacentral:rRNA from 1 species
GACAGAGGGUGCAAGCGUUGUUCGGAAUUAUUGGGCGUAAAGGGCGCGUAGGCGGCCAUGCGUGUCUUCCGUGAAAUCCCUCGGCUUAACUGAGGACGUGCGGAAGAAACUGCAAGGCUCGAGUCCGGGAGAGGGGGGUGGAAUUCCCAGUGUAGCGGUGAAAUGCGUAGAUAUCUGGAGGAAUACCGGUGGCGAAGGCGGCAUCCUGGACCGGCAUUGACGCUGAGGAGCGAAAGCUAGGGGAGCAAACGGG